rnacentral:siRNA from 1 species
AGAACGCUCGAAUCUGGUCCUCUG